rnacentral:rRNA from 1 species
AUUGAACGCUGGCGGCAUGCCUUACACAUGCAAGUCGAACGGUAACAGGUCUUCGGAUGCUGACGAGUGGCGAACGGGUGAGUAAUACAUCGGAACGUGCCCGAUCGUGGGGGAUAACGGAGCGAAAGCUUUGCUAAUACCGCAUACGAUCUACGGAUGAAAGCAGGGGACCGCAAGGCCUUGCGCGGACGGAGCGGCCGAUGGCAGAUUAGGUAGUUGGUGGGAUAAAAGCUUACCAAGCCGACGAUCUGUAGCUGGUCUGAGAGGAUGACCAGCCACACUGGGACUGAGACACGGCCCAGACUCCUACGGGAGGCAGCAGUGGGGAAUUUUGGACAAUGGGCGAAAGCCUGAUCCAGCCAUGCCGCGUGCAGGAUGAAGGCCUUCGGGUUGUAAACUGCUUUUGUACGGAACGAAAAGACUCUUUCUAAUAAAGAGGGUCCAUGACGGUACCGUAAGAAUAAGCACCGGCUAACUACGUG